CAGAGAACAAAGCACAUUGGUUAAUUCCAGAGGAACGGAUAGAGUUUAAAGAAAGACUGGUCUAUCUGGAAGCCAAAUUUUUAAGAGAAAGCCUUUGAAGCAGAGGUGACACUGGUUAGCAUGGCUCUAAGGUUUCUGAUGCAUCACCAAAUUCUGUUCCUGCUUAAUAGUAUGCAAGACCAAUGAAGUCAGUGCGCUUUUAAGUGUAACUGAGGAAAAAAAUAUAUAUUUCUGAGCUUUGCCUUUCUUCCUUUUUGAGGUCUCAGGAGCGGGUCUUCAUAAUGGCAGCAAUUCCCUGCCAAAUGUCCAGGGCUCCAGCGAGAGGAUGGAGAAAGGACCCAGCCCACAGAGUUACAUCAAUCCAUGGGGACCACCUGCCUGCAGCAGUCAAUAUUUCAGGUGGAUCCAUCCAUCUGUGGGAUACAGAUGGGGGAAUUAUUACAAAAUGGUAACCAAAUUGAGCUGACAAAUCUACCAGUGCACAGCUGGGAUCUGGAUAGAGCUACAGAUAGAUUUCAUGUAAGUAUACUUGACUUUCUGACUUUCUCCUCGUGUAAAAGCAGAGGUCUAACUUUCUCCCAUUACUGUCCAACCAAUGUCUUCAGUACAAGAACAGCAAUAUUGUCUCAAGCAGCAUGUACAGCUGUCACAGUUGAGGUACAGAGCAGCAGAGGAGAGCCC
ensembl:lncRNA